rnacentral:rRNA from 1 species
UACGUAGGGUGCAAGCGUUAAUCGGAAUUACUGGGCGUAAAGCGUGCGCAGGCGGUUAUGUAAGACAGGUGUGAAAUCCCCGGGCUUAACCUGGGAACUGCAUUUGUGACUGCAUAGCUAGAGUACGGUAGAGGGGGAUGGAAUUCCGCGUGUAGCAGUGAAAUGCGUAGAGAUCGGGAGGAACACCAGUGGCGAAGGCGGCUCGCUGGGCCGGUCCUGACACUGAGGCGCGAAGGCGUGGGGAGCGAACGGG